rnacentral:rRNA from 1 species
GUGGUGCAUGCCUGUCGUCAGGUCGAAGUAAAGAGAUGUUGGGUUAAGUCCCGCAACCAUUCCCAACCCUUAUUAUCAGUUGCCAGCAUUAAGUUGGGCACUCUGGUGAGACUGCCGGGACAAACCGGAGGAAGGUGGGGAUGACGCAAAUCAUCAUGCCCCUUAUGACCUGGGCUACCACUGCUACAAUGGAUGGACAACAGUGCGAACUCGAGAGUAA